rfam:Populus trichocarpa scaffold_11_contig_569, whole genome shotgun sequence.
UCUAGAACUCGAGAUAUAGGUUGAACACUGAACAGUAUCUGAGCUGCAAGACAGAUUCUGACUUCUCUUUUGAUGCUAAGAUUUGGACUUCCAAAUGACAGAAUUGAGUCUUACACUCCUCCUGAAUGUUUUAGGCCUAUUCUUAGCUUUCUAGC